rnacentral:rRNA from 1 species
GUAGGGAAUAUUGCACAAUGGGGGAAACCCUGAUGCAGCGACGCCGCGUGAGUGAUGAAGGCCUUCGGGUCGUAAAGCUCUGUCGUAUGGGACUAACACAAUGAAGGUACCAUGCAAGAAAGGAUCGGCUAACUUCGUGCCAGCAGCCGCGGUAAGACGAGGGAUCCUAGCGUUGUUCGGAAUCAUUGGGCGUAAAGCGGGUGUAGGCGGAUUUAUAAGUCAGGUGUGAAAUCCCAGGGCUCAACCCUGGAAGUGCACUUGAUACUGUAAAUCUUGAGUGUGGUAGAGGUUACUGGAAUUGUUGGUGUAGUGGUGAAAUACGUAGAUAUCAACAGGAAUACCGGAGGCGAAGGCGAGUAACUGGGCCAACACUGACGCUGAGACCCGAAAGCGUGGGGAUCAAACAGGAUUAGAUACCCUGGUAGUCC